rnacentral:rRNA from 1 species
GACGAACGCUGGCGGCGUGCUUAACACAUGCAAGUCGAACGGUUAGGCCCCGCUCGUGUGGGUUUCUCGAGUGGCAAGCGGGAGUGUAACACGUGCGUAACCUGCCCUUGAUUUUGGUAUCACUUCAGGAACCUGGGGCUAAUCGCAUAUAUCAGCUCCUCCUGCAUGGUGGCUGUUGGAAACUUUCGGCGGGUGGGGAUGGACUCGCGGCUUAUCAGCUUGUUGGUGGGGUAGGGGCUUACCAAGGCAUUGACGGGUAGCCGGCUUGAGAGGGUGACCGGCCACAUUGGGACUGAGAUACGGCCCAGACUCCUACGGGAGGCAGCAGUGGGGAAUAUUGCACAAUGGGCGGAAGCCUGAUGCAGCAACGCCGCGUGCGGGAUGACGGCCUUCGGGUUGUAAACCGCUUUCGCCAGUGACGAAGCGUGAGUGACGGUAAUGGGUAAAGAAGCACCGGCUAACUACGUG